rnacentral:rRNA from 1 species
AACGAACGCUGGCGGCAUGCCUAACACAUGCAAGUCGAACGAUGCCUUCGGGCAUAGUGGCGCACGGGUGCGUAACGCGUGGGAAUCUGCCUUUCGGUUCGGAAUAACUCAGGGAAACUUGAGCUAAUACCGGAUAACGUCGCAAGACCAAAGAUUUAUCACCGAAAGAUGAGCCCGCGUAGGAUUAGCUAGUUGGUGAGGUAAAGGCUCACCAAGGCGACGAUCCUUAGCUUGUCUGAGAGGAUGAUCAGCCACACUGGGACUGAGACACGGCCCAGACUCCUACGGGAGGCAGCAGUGGGGAAUAUUGGACAAUGGGCGAAAGCCUGAUCCAGCAAUGCCGCGUGAGUGAUGAAGGCCUUAGGGUUGUAAAGCUCUUUUACCCGGGAAGAUAAUGACGGUACCGGGAGAAUAAGCCCCGGCUAACUCCGUG